UACGUAGGGGGCAAGCGUUGUCCGGAAUCAUUGGGCGUAAAGCGCACGUAGGCGGCUUUGUAAGUUAGAGGUGAAAGCCCGGGGCUCAACUCCGGAAUUGCCUUUAAGACUGCAUCGCUAGAAUUGUGGAGAGGUGAGUGGAAUUCCGAGUGUAGAGGUGAAAUUCGUAGAUAUUCGGAAGAACACCAGUGGCGAAGGCGACUCACUGGACACAUAUUGACGCUGAGGUGCGAAAGCGUGGGGAGCAAACAGG
rnacentral:rRNA from 1 species